rnacentral:rRNA from 1 species
GAUGAACGCUGGCGGCGUGCUUAACACAUGCAAGUCGAACGAUUGAAGCUGGAGCUUGCUCCGGCCGAUUUAGUGGCGGACGGGUGAGUAACGCGUGGGUAACCUGCCUCAUACAGGGGGAUAGCAGUUGGAAACGACUGGUAAAACCGCAUAAGCGCACGGUGUCGCAUGACACAGUGUGAAAACACUCCGGUGGUAUGAGAUGGACCCGCGUCUGAUUAGCUAGUUGGUGAGGUAACGGCCCACCAAGGCGACGAUCAGUAGCCGGCCUGAGAGGGUGAACGGCCACAUUGGGACUGAGACACGGCCCAAACUCCUACGGGAGGCAGCAGUGGGGAAUAUUGCACAAUGGGGGAAACCCUGAUGCAGCGACGCCGCGUGAGUGAUGAAGUAUUUCGGUAUGUAAAGCUCUAUCAGCAGGGAAGAUAAUGACGGUACCUGACUAAGAAGCACCGGCUA